CAGCACCUCAAGUGGUCAGGAUGAUUAUUGGGCCUAAAGCAUCCGUAGCCGGCGCUGCAAGUUUUCGGUUAGAUCUGUACGCUCAACGUACAGGCUGCCGGGAAUACUGCAGCGCUAGGGAGUGGGAGAGGUAGACGGUACUCGGUAGGAAGGGGUAAAAUCCUUUGAUCUAUUGAUGACCACCUGUGGCGAAGGCGGUCUACCAGAACACGUCCGACGGUGAGGGAUGAAAGCUGGGGGAGCAAACCGGAUUAGAUACCCGAGUAGUCC
rnacentral:rRNA from 1 species